UACGGGGGGGGCGAGCGUUGUUCGGAAUUACUGGGCGUAAAGGGUUUGUAGGUGGUCUGCUAAGUCAGACGUGAAAUCCCUCAGCUUAACUGGGGACUGCGUCUGAUACUGGCGGACUUGAGGACAGGAGAGGAACGCGGAAUUCCAGGUGUAGCGGUGAAAUGCGCAGAUAUCAGGAAGAACACCCGUGGCGAAGGCGGGUCUCUGGGCAACAACUGACGCUGAGGAGCGAAAGCGUGGGGAGCGAACAGG
rnacentral:rRNA from 1 species